rfam:Myotis lucifugus cont2.15567, whole genome shotgun sequence.
GGUGGUUCUUGGGUGAUGCACCUCGGAAUUGGGCACCCUUCUCUCUGGUUCCAGGUGCGUCACCCGAGAACCGCA